rnacentral:sRNA from 1 species
AUUAUAUUUUUGAUAGGCUUGUAGGAAGGCAGUCGUGGUGUGUUCCCCAUGAAAAAGGAAAAGCACAAAGAUUGUCUUCCCAGGAAUAAGUCUAAAGAUCCACACGGAGGUAAUGGAACUUCCUGAAGACACGAACAUCUAUUUUCCUUGGUGCGGGUACAUUUGAGAUCCCUGUUUUGCCCUUACUCAGCUGAUGGACAAUCUAGUCUUCUCCUGAAUCAUACAAAGCCAACACCAAGAAGCCAUUUUAUCAACGUCUGCCUAGACUCUACAGAUACCCCUCAGUCUGCUAUGAUCUCUUCUUUAGAAUUAAAGCAG